GCGUCUAGAAGGACUGGACUCCCUCAACUUGACCCAGGAGGCCUCUAGGCGCGACCCCUCUUUGGUACCCGCGGCUGACAUAAGUCCACGUUGGGCCUCUUCUCCUACCUCCCCCAGCACUUUCAACCCACAGCUUGGAACCGAACCAGCAGAGCCCCACUAACGCGCCCGCGCCGGGGCCACCCGCCACCAGCCGCGAGCGCGCGGCCGACGCGCGAGCACGACCGGCCUCCCCCGACUGCCGCCCCAGGCCCUGGGCAUCCGCGCGGGUCCCACCCCGCCCCUGCCCAGUCCCAGACUUUGCUCCUCUGGGAGCGUAGAGCUCAAGAGAGCGCACUUCGGCUUCUCCCACACAAUGAGCCUCCGGCCACCAGGAACAGGCGGAGGGGCAGUGCAAGAUCCGAGCGGGAAAGCAGGCAACCCGCCCCAGAAACCGACCUGUGGAGACCGCCAUCUUCUCCUACAGCCCGACGCAGCCGCCUGAACGCACGGGACGUCAGCGUCACUUCCGGGAGCGCGCCGCUGGGUGCGCAUCACUCCAGACUCCGCCCCCCGCGGCCGGCGCCGCUCUCCGAGCGGUGACAGCGCGCACGUGGGGCGAGGAGGUGGGACCCUCGCUAAUGCUUGGCUACCUGGAACUCCGCAGCUGUCUCACAGUAAAAAUUUUAUGGGACGAAAACAAUGAGUUGAAGCAGGAAAAGAAGAAAGACACAGGAGAAACCAUAUAGAUUUACGCCACUUUGAAGGAAAUAAGGCCCCCUGACUAAUGUCCCACCCCUCCAGUUGACAAAACAAUUAUCCCUGUAGCAGAAGAUACUCUCCUCCCAGUUUGUUAGUUGCUCAAGUAAUAGUUCUGGUUACAGUUCAUGUUACUUUUGUUUUUUAGAAACAGUCACUGUGAUACUGACCACUAUGAUGCGUAACUGGUCAUAAGAGCCAAUGUCUAUCCUAAGAACCAGUCCCCACUAUUCUGCCCCUGUACUGCCUGCUAACUUGUCCCAUGUGAGCCCUACACCACCAGAGAUCAGGGCCUGAUGUUUUGGGAAUGAACCUGAUCAGUGCCCGUCAACAUAAAUAAAUCUGCUUCCAAAUCCUGGGUAUCAUCUCAGUAUUUCUGCUUGCUAUUGCAUCCUUUCUCCCCAUGAGUAGAUAGAUACGCAAUUCCCAUGAAGUUCUUGUCAUUAGUAUCUGUGAUGAGCGCACCCUAAUAUCCCCUUUGUCCCCUGUGACCUACACUUUCUGGAGUUUUCGACCCUAUGGGAUCCAUCAUCUCUCUUUGAGUGUCAGUGAGAACCGUGACUUUUCUUUAAUCGACAACUUGCUAAAGUAAUAGGAAGACACUUCUGCAACUGUGGUACAUGUUAUCUGAAUGCCCGUGCUGCAAGGAAAUGCAAGGGUCUGAAACUGCUGUGAUGCAAGUUUACUUUGGAGAAUGACGUGGGACAAGACACUAAAGCCAGGCUCUAGCCAACACAGCCAGCAAGAAACCAAGGAUCUCAGUGUAACAGUCUGCAAGGAGUCAGCAUAAAUUUGGUGGUAUUAUACCCCUCAGUUGCUAACGCUUGGAAAUCUUGGAAGCGAAUCCCACUUCCCUCAAGCCUUGAGAUCAGACAACAGCUCCUGAACUGGCAUCUGGACCACAGCCCAGCCAAGUCUAGACUCCUGACUCAUCGACGCUGUGGGAGAAUAAACCUGUGUUCUUUAGUCCCCAAGGUUGUGAUAACUGGCUCUGCAGCAAAGUGAAACAGCAAUCCUACAGUAAGCCACUGCAUUUUAACAGCUCGGGUGAAUCUGAUUUCCUCACAAGGAAUCCUGAGAAUUUCUCUAAUCGGUAUGAGGAGGAAAGCUCUAUUACCAGCAAACUAUUAAACUUUCUCCAAGGUUUUCUUCUUCAUUUUACUGACUUGACUAGAUGGCAGUGGCUUUGCAGCUCGCCUGUCCUAAAUGUCUGUUUAUUUUUAAAAUUAAUUUACCUUUUUAUUUAUUUAUUUUUCUCUUUUUAUCGGUACC